rfam:Macrostomum lignano uti_cns_0048157, whole genome shotgun sequence.
GGGGUUAUAGCCCAGAGGUUAGAGUGUCAGAUUCAUGACUUGAAGGUCCGUGGUUCGACUCCCGAUCCCA